UAUUUGUUGUGAUUUGUGCAGCCAAGCUAGUGUAUUUCUGUGAUGCUGGAACCCACAGCAUUGAAGUCAUGAACACAGACGGAAGCAACAGACGGGUUUUGUUUACAGACCUCAGUUCUAGCCUUGAUGGUCUGAUCAUUACUUCUAAAUAUAUUUAUUACUCUGACAAGAAUAAAAGACAUGUCCUGCGUCUGAACCGUGAUGGAACCGACCACACGUCUGCUGGUCCACCUGACUUCCCUCAAGUUAUUGGUCUCCACGCUUACGACAUCAUUCUAAAUUAACUCUACCUCUGCGAAAUUACUGUUAUAAAACAUGAGAAAUAAAAAGUUUCUUUUAAAAAAAAUCA
rnacentral:sRNA from 1 species